rnacentral:rRNA from 1 species
UACAGAGACUGCAAGCGUUAUUCGGAUUCACUGGGCGUAAAGGGUGCGCAGGCGGUUGUGUGUGUCAGGUGUGAAAGCCCGGGGCUUAACCCCGGAAUUGCGCCUGAAACUACAUGACUAGAGCAUUGGAGAGGGUAGCGGAAUUCACGGUGUAGCAGUGAAAUGCGUAGAUAUCGUGAGGAACACCAGAGGCGAAGGCGGCUACCUGGACAAUUGCUGACGCUCAGGUACGAAAGCGUGGGGAGCAAACAGG